rnacentral:rRNA from 1 species
CCUACGGGGGGCUGCAGUGGGGAAUAUUGGACAAUGGGGGCAACCCUGAUCCAGCCAUGCCGCGUGUGUGAAGAAGGCCCUCGGGUUGUAAAGCACUUUCAGUGAGGAAGAACGCCUGGUGGUUAAUACCCAUCAGGAAAGACAUCACUCACAGAAGAAGCACCGGCUAACUCCGUGCCAGCAGCCGCGGUAAUACGGAGGGUGCGAGCGUUAAUCGGAAUUACUGGGCGUAAAGCGCGCGUAGGUGGCUUGAUAAGCCGGUUGUGAAAGCCCCGGGCUCAACCUGGGAACGGCAUCCGGAACUGUCAAGCUAGAGUGCAGGAGAGGAAGGUAGAAUUCCCGGUGUAGCGGUGAAAUGCGUAGAGAUCGGGAGGAAUACCAGUGGCGAAGGCGGCCUUCUGGACUGACACUGACACUGAGGUGCGAAAGCGUGGAUAGCAAACAGGAUUAGAUACCCCUGUAGUC